rnacentral:rRNA from 1 species
GAUGAACGCUGGCGGCGUGCCUAAUACAUGCAAGUCGAGCGAACAGACGAGGAGCUUGCUCCUCUGACGUUAGCGGCGGACGGGUGAGUAACACGUGGAUAACCUACCUAUAAUACUGGGAUAACUUCGGGAAACCGGAGCUAAUACCGGAUAAUAUAUUGAACCGCAUGGUUCAAUAGUGAAAGACGGUUUUGCUGUCACUUAUAGAUGGAUCCGCGCCGGAUUAGCUAGGUGGUAAGGUAACGGCUUACCAAGGCAACGAAGCGAAGCCGAGCUGAGAGGUUGAUCGGCCACACGGGAACUGAGACACGGUCCAGACUCCUACGGGAGGAAGCAGUAGGGAAUCUUCGGCAAUGGGCGCAAGCUUGACGGAGCAAUGCCGCGUGGGUGAUGAAGGUCUUCGGAUCGUAAAACUCUGUUAUUGGGAAAGAAAAAAUGUGUAAGAAAAUAUCCCCGUUUUGACGGUACCCAAUGAAAAAGCACCGGCUAACUACGUG